AUUGAACGCUGGCGGCAGGCCUAACACAUGCAAGUCGAGCGAGCGGCGGACGGGUGAGUAAUGCCUGGGAAUUGCCCAGUCGAGGGGGAUAACAGUUGGAAACGACUGCUAAUACCGCAUACGAUUGGAUUGCCCAGGUGGGAUUGGCUAGUUGGUGAGGUAAUGGCUCACCAAGGCGACGAUCCCUAGCUGGUCGGAGAGGAUGUUAGGCCAACCUGGAAUGGGAACACGGUCCAGACUCCUACGGGAGGAAGCAGAGGGGAAUAUUGCACAAUGGGGGAAACCCUGAUGCGGCCAUGCCGCGUGUGUAAAGAAGGCCUUCGGGUUGUAAAGCACUUUCAGCGAGGAGGCGUUACUCGCAGAAGAAGCACCGGCUAACUCCGUGCCAGCAGCCGCGGUAAUUC
rnacentral:rRNA from 1 species